rnacentral:rRNA from 1 species
AUGGAUGGUCACCAAGAUGCCAUCAACAUGACGCAGGCGCUGGAGGCCUUGUCCCCCUAUCUGGAGAAUCCCCGGCGGAUAGUCAUCCGGAACGAAGCUUUUGUGGUCGUGGCAGCCGUGAUGCUGUUCCUGCAACUCAUGCUUGGUCCUUGGCGCCGGCGGUCGGGCCAUUGGUUCGUCCAAGGUACUCUCUGGCUAGCUUACACGCUCAGCUUCCCUGUGAUCACCUAUACCCUUGGUCAGAUGGUGACCUCGCCCGUGAAGAAUGUGUUGUAUCCUGUUUGGGCCCUGAUUCUCUUCUGGGCAACCGGGUCCGCCAACGCUUUCAUGGCUUAUAAUAUCGAGGACAACAAGCGGUGGAAGCGCUACCUCUUUGAGUUCCUUCAGUAUUUUGCGUAUAUAACCAUUAUACUCAGGCUGCUUCGUCCUCCUAAAGGAAUAGGAUUUUCACGGCCAAUUUUUGUUUCUCUUCUUACCUUAAUGAGCCUGGUGCUUUAUACCAAUAUGUAUAGAGUACGUGCUGGUUGGAUGGUCGAGAAUUCUGUUCCCAGCAAAUUAGUAGCCAACUACAUGAGGGCUCUGGUUAAGGUGAACACAAGAUCUAGAGCUGUUCAGGAGGAGACUUUCACAAUGGACAGCUGCAAAUACCUUGUCUGUUAUUAUUAUUUUCUGGGACCAGACAACAUAGGUGGUGUGGAUUCUGCCAUCACCAUCGAGGCAAUCUGGGGCAUGGCAUUUGAUGAUGACAUCCUGCUUAAAAAGCAGCUGAGAGAUGUAUGCCUCUCGUUUGCUCUGUCUCACUUGCUGCGACGCCGCUACUUUGAGAUGGAUUGUGCCGAGGCCGGACUACCCAAUACGCUCAAGUUUGCACUUGAGUGUUUGCUGCCAGAAGAGGAUCAAGUAAACCAUUACUCAGGAGCAUUUCAUGUCAUUGAGGUAGAAUUGGGCUUCCUCUAUGACUUCUUCUUCACAAAGCACGCAACUCUGUUUUCCUUAGAGCUUCAUUUCUUUCUGCUGGUUGUUCUCAAAUUGAUUUGCACUUCUAUCACCGGAUUAUUUCUGCUUACAUAUCCCACCAUUGUCAAUUCACGUGACCCUAUAAUCGAGGUUGGCACAAGAAGGGUUGAUGUUACUGUUACAAUGGUGAUUAUGGGAGCUCUCCUUCUAUUUGAAGUUCUGCAGGCUAUACUAUACCUGACAUCGGAUUGGGCCACUGUUUCACUCGCUUGCAGCUAUACCAGGGGAGAUACAUGCAAACUCAUUCCGUCCAUCAUCCGGUUUCUUAGAAGGUUUAAGUAUGACAAUCUUCUCGGCAAGAGGAUCAAUUAUUUUGGAUAUUGGAGAAAUAAGAUGGGCCAAUCAUCUGUAAUUGGAGGCAACUUGCUUGUCCAUUGGCUCAAUGUGGAACCCAAGAGAGGAAACAUGUUCGAGGAUUUUCUAUGUCUUGCAGUAUACCACCUCAUUUAUUCAACGAUAUUAUCAAUGAAGAAUUUUGUUGUAGUUCCUGAUUUGGUCAAGAGCAAUAUAAUUUCUUGCUUGCGGAUAUAUAGCAACGGCGGUGGUCCUCUAACUAAUGGAAAAGCAGCAUUGGAGCGUAAUGGUGUCCUUGGAGACCUCUCCUCUACACUGGAGAAUGAUAGCCAAAUAGCAGUGAUGCUUAUUUGGCACAUCGCAACUGAGUACUGCAAUAUUGCAUCUUCCAAUGGGGCAGAGGAUGGCCUUCACAAUGGUGCACAGCAAGUUGCCACCACCUUAUCCAAAUAUUGUGCCUACUUAAUGUACUUCGUUCCAGAAUUGCUUGCCGAGAACCCUACGGACACACUAUUCAUCGUCCAUGACGUGCUGAAGAAAGUACAAAGUGCGCUGGGUGGUGACAAACCGACCAAGGAUAGAUUGCUAAGGGUCAUCCAAGACUCUGAAAGCAUCAGGAGCAACGAGGAUCAACCUGUCGUCCAUGCUUCCGACGGCCCCGAUGCCAAUGCUACCAUAAUCCAUAUUCCUCCAGUCAGCAGCAACUCGAAUAACAUUGUCCAUGACUCCAGCAGUGGUAGCGGCACAAGUAAUAUCAUCCACGACUCCAGCAGCAGAAGCAACAACAACCGUACUACCAUCGUCCAAGACUCCACCACCAACAACAAUGAAGAUAGCAUCCUCAUCAGAGGAUUGAAGCUAGGGAGGGAUCUGGAGGCGAAAGAUGUUGACCUCCGCUGGAAGGUGAUGGCAGAAUUCUGGGCUGAGACCAUCAUCUAUAUCGCGCCAUCGGACAAAGCCGCGGAGCACAUGGAAUGCCUCGCGCAAGGAGGGGAAUUCCUUACUCAUAUAUGGGCUCUCCUCACGCACGCGGGCAUUGUGAAGCGUGACCACAUGAUCCCAACACCAGACCAGACGCCAUCCUCAGAAGAUCGUGUGUGGUAG